rnacentral:lncRNA from 1 species
UCUACUCUGCACCCCGUGGAGAUGCCACCCCUUCCUUGUGUGGGGAUGAUGAGGGUUGCUUCCAAGGGGACUGUCAGCCCCCAGGGCUUCUGAUGGGGUGUGGGGUGUCUCAGGGUGCAGACGGUCACCUGUUCAGGUACCAGCUCUCCCACAGCUUCUGCAGUGCCGUGGCAGGACUGGAUACGUCCACGCCCUCUGGACCUCUCUGCAAGGCAGGAUAAUGGGUGAUUGGACCAUGUUAUUCUUACUUCUAGCAACAGUGAAAAUAAUUCUGAAGCAAAGCAAGCAGAAGACAGAGUUAAUAGCAGGAAUAUCUGUCCAGGCCCUAGGAAGGCUCCGAUCCCAACUUUCCCCAUUACGUGGGUGGUAACGUGAGACACGGCAGCAGUGGGAUUGAGGCCGGGGCCCAACACUGAGAUACAUUCCUGUUCGUUUUUAAAAAGCUUGCGAUGCAGGUUCUGGCUAAGUCACUAAAUUGCCCUAGCUGGGCUAGAACUCGAGAUCCUUCUGCUGCAGCCUCCCAGAGCACAAGAUUACAGCCAUUUGGGAUGCUUCUGACAUCUGUGGAGACCACAGUGCUGCAGCGAUGGUCUUGUCCGUUUGUCCUUCGUACUCACGCCGGCCCCUCUGCAGCUGGUUCCUUGGCGUGGAAGUGCGGGGCCCAGCAGAUGCGCUUGGAUCUGUGGUGCGGAUACCCGAGGCUCCCUGGCUCACCAGGGCCUCCUCCAAUGGAUGCAGUGCCAAGGACGGACCGAACGGUUUGGAAGGAGAAGCGCUGUCACUGUUGCAGUGUCUAAGCUGGACGCUAACAAGAAGAAGAGACCAGGCAUCCAUGUCCAGGACCGCUCUGUCCACCCCGGUGGGCUGUGGCCAAGACCUGGCUGGGACUUCAGUGACCUGUCCCUUGUAGGAAAUUUGCAAGACCUUCCACUGCAAAUGUUUCAUGCCUGCUGGAUGAGGUGGUGCAGUAAGCCCAGCAGCGGAUGGCUGCUGCUCACCCACCCAUGGCC